rnacentral:rRNA from 1 species
CCUACGGGAGGCAGCAGUGGGGAAUUUUGGACAAUGGGGGCAACCCUGAUCCAGCAAUGCCGCGUGAGUGAAGAAGGCCUUCGGGUUGUAAAGCUCUUUUGUCAGGGAAGAAACGGGUGGGGCUAAUAUCCUCAUCUAAUGGCGGUACCUGAAGAAUAAGCACCGGCUAACUACGUGCCAGCAGCCGCGGUAAUACGUAGGGUGCAAGCGUUAAUCGGAAUUACUGGGCGUAAAGCGUGCGCAGGCGGUUAUGUAAGUCAGAUGUGAAAUCCCCGGGCUCAACCUGGGAACUGCAUUUGAGACUGCAUGGCUAGAGUGUGUCAGAGGGGGGUAGAAUUCCACGUGUAGCAGUGAAAUGCGUAGAUAUGUGGAGGAAUACCGAUGGCGAAGGCAGCCCCCUGGGAUAACACUGACGCUCAUGCACGAAAGCGUGGGGAGCAAACAGGAUUAGAUACCCUGGUAGUCCACGCCCUAAACCGAUGUCUACUAGUUGUCGGGACUUAAUUGUCUUGGUAACGCAGCUACGCGUGAGUAGACCGCCGUCGGGAGGUACGGUCGCGAGAAGUAAACGUACGAAGAAGUUAGUACGGCGUGAGACGUAGACGACGACGACGACGAGGGAGGAGG